CGGUACGUACUGGCAUCGUCGGUUUCUCCCUUCUGACGAACCAUGAUGUCAUUUAUUUGGUGUUGUGGGGAAUCAGGACUGUUACUUUGAAAAAAUUAGAGUGUUUAAAGCAGGCUCACGCUUGAAUACAUUAGCAUGGAAUAAUGAAAUAGGACGUUUGAUUCUAUUUUGUUGGUUUCUAGGAUCGACGUAAUGAUUAAUAGGGAUAGUUGGGGGCAUUAGUAUUCAAUUGUCAGAGGUGAAAUUCUUGGAUUUAUUGAAGACUAACUACUGCGAAAGCAUUUGCCAAGGAUGUUUUCAUUGAUCAUGAACGAAAGUUAGGGGAUCGAAGACGAUCAGAUACCGUCGUAGUCUUAACCAUAAACUAUGCCGACUAGGGAUCGGAUGAUGUUAAUUUUUUAAUGACUCAUUCGGCGCCUUACG
rnacentral:rRNA from 1 species